ACAUGGCCAAUCGAAAUGUAUUUUUUGAGCUCUUUUAAUAUUUAUGUAUCUUCUUAAAAUGUUUGACAAUAUCUCCGGAACCUCCGAACUAUUUCCACUUGCGCCCAGUAGCAAUGUAUACGAUCCAAUUGUUAUUGAAAAACGUACAGUAUACUGUACUGUAUGUAAGAUUCCCUACACAGCAGUCAGCACCCUGUCCCAAUAUUCACUUUUUGCUUUCCCAAAGUUAUUUGUGCGUGAUCAUGUAUACUUUGCUUACUUGCUGUCACAUCACACAUCUGUAAAAUUACACACAGAAGUGACAGGCAUUUAAGCGAACACAACAUUCCCUACGUCUGUGACAAGUUUGUUUUUGCGCAUAAUGAAAAUCGGAGUCUAGCUACUCAGAUAUAUUUAUUAAUCUUCAGUCUAUAGCUUAAAUGUGCUCCCUUCACCCCCUCCUCAUAGCUGUUGAGGAAUAUUCGCCGUUAUAUUUUCUGCACAUCAAGCCACAAACGGUUUCCUGUUACUCUGCCACAUUUAGCUUCUUUUCAAGAAACAAUCCCAGUUCUCAAAGCAAACUGCAAGGGGUAGGCAGCAAACUGACCAAGGGCAUGUAGAAUUCGAGACGUGGUCUAAUGUAAAUUGGAGAUUUACCGUUAAAUGCAACGUCCUUAAUGCAAAUUUAAAUGCAAGCGAAUUAAUGUCGUCUAGAAAUUGCCAUCUAAAACGUCUUAAUCUGGAAACAGCUUGAUAUUCGUUGCUAGAAUGUUUUUGUAUUAAAUGAACAGACAUCGCUUGUUCAUCUUUUAUUCUCUACAAUUAAAAUAACCUGACGCUUAAAUCAAUGGAAAAGUUAUCGAAAUAGGUAAAUGCUAUUCAAUGAGUAGGAAAGCCUAACGAUGUACGUACUGUGUAGUCUUAGCCUUGAAAGAAAAACAAAUCCCCAAAUUAAAGGUUUGCAUUUAAGAUUACCAGAUAGAAAAAUGUUAAGGAGCACAUAUACAUACAGUAGGGAGUGUAGAAUAGGAGACAUUGUAGCAUGCUUCUAGUGUUUUGAAUAUCAUCGGUAUCACAUUAAGACAGGCGUGUGCAUGUAUUUUUUGCAGUGAGAGAGCGUCUCCACGUCAGAGGACUUGGGGAGGGCAGUUCUGUUUAAAAUGCUGUGAAUGUGACAGCCAGGAGUCCAGACUGCCAAUGUGAGGAAGGUGAUGGGAUAAACCGAGUACAACUGGAAAAAAAUGAGAACAAAAAGAGCAAGCCGACUGUAAAAUAUAGAUAAAAAAUAAAAGUAGGAAACAAAAGAGUGUCCACAGAAGGAAAUAAGUAAGGUUUUUCUAUUCUACAAGUGACUCAGAACAUCUGUGCCACACAUUGAGGACGACGUACAGUAUCCGGAGCAAAACGCAGACGGAUCACAGCGAGGGGAGCUUUACCCUUGGGGGGGAAGAUGACAGUGGUGCCCGGUGAAAAUCUAGACGAGACUGUGGCACUGGCAGCCCUGUCCCACGAUGUCUAUGAUCCCGAGCAAGCGGACCAGGAAUGUUGUGAAAGGGUGGUUAUCAACAUCUCCGGGUUGCGCUUCGAGACCCAGCUUAAAACCCUCGCGCAGUUCCCUAGCACCUUACUGGGCGACCCCAGGAAAAGGAUGCGUUUCUUUGAUCCGCUGAGGAAUGAAUAUUUCUUUGACAGAAAUCGCCCCAGCUUUGAUGCCAUACUUUAUUAUUAUCAGUCGGGAGGGAGGCUUAGAAGACCUGUUAACGUGCCCGUGGACAUUUUCAUGGAGGAGAUAAAAUUUUACGAACUAGGGGAGGAAGUAAUCGAAAAUUUCAAGGAGGACGAAGGUUUCAUCAAGGAGGAAGAACGCCCGUUGCCGAAUAAUGAAUUCCAGCGUCAGGUCUGGCUUCUGUUUGAAUACCCCGAGAGCUCUGGACCAGCUCGAGGGAUUGCAAUAGUCUCUGUUCUCGUCAUUUUAAUAUCAAUUGUUAUUUUCUGCUUAGAGACGUUGCCGGAGUUUAGGGAAGAGAACAGAUUUUACGACCAUCUGGUCUUGAACGGGACUAGCAGCGUCAAACCCAACCCGUUCACUGACCCCUUCUUCAUUGUUGAGACGCUGUGCAUCAUUUGGUUUUCGUUUGAGUUGCUAGUGAGGUUCUUCGCCUGUCCGAGUAAGCCUGCUUUCUUUAAAAAUAUCAUGAACACCAUCGACAUAGUGGCUAUCAUUCCCUACUUCAUCACCCUGGGCAUGGAGCUAGCAGAACAUCAGGGAAAUGGCCAGCAAGCCAUGUCUUUAGCAAUUUUGAGAGUUAUUCGUUUGGUAAGAGUCUUCAGGAUUUUCAAGCUCUCCAGACACUCCAAGGGACUCCAAAUCUUGGGGAAAACCCUCCAAGCAAGUAUGAGAGAACUCGGGUUAUUGAUAUUCUUCCUUUUCAUAGGUGUCAUCUUGUUUUCCAGCGCAGUGUAUUUUGCUGAGACCGACGACCCUUCCUCUGGAUUCAGCAGUAUCCCAGAUGCGUUUUGGUGGGCGGUGGUAUCCAUGACUACUGUGGGCUAUGGAGACAUGUGCCCUGUCACAAUCGGUGGCAAAAUCGUGGGUUCGUUGUGUGCCAUUGCUGGUGUGCUGACAAUUGCGCUACCUGUCCCUGUCAUAGUCUCAAAUUUCAACUAUUUCUACCACAGGGAGACUGAACACGAGGAACAAUUUCAAUACACCCAUGUAACGUGCGGUCAACAGCAGUCCUCCUUCGGUGAACUGAAGAAGAGUGGCAGCAAGUCCUCUCUCAACAAAUCAGACUACCUGGAGACAGAUGAUUUCGAUCCAAUAAAGUAUACAAACUGUAGCCCGACAAAAGCAUACACGGGCAAGCUAUCUGAUGUAUGAUUGUAGCCUGCGCGUAAUUGGACCAGAGAAACAUAACGUUUCUGUGAGUACAUCCCCCCAUUCAGCACUUUUGCUUAAAAAUAUUGGCCGCCUGUUGUUUCGCGCAUCCUUAAUGCAACGAAGUGAGUAUCGAACGUGAGAAUUGAAAUUCAGAGAAAUUUCUAGCAAUGGGUGACAUACACCUGGAUUGUGAGUGGUACGGUUUUUUCUUUCCCUUUUUAAAAUUGUCUUCCGUGUCGUGUCUUCAUCUUGGGCACUGCGUAAAAUAGCGGGCUUCAUUUUCACUUGCUCUUUUAACCUCCUGCCCCGCUUUUCAGCACUUUAUUAGAAGUAAACCUAUCGUUACUACUAACCUUCUGAGAUAUUAUUUGAAAUUGGCAUGUCAGUUAUAUACAGUAUUGUAUAUAUAUAUACACGUACUGUAUGUAUAAUAUACGUACGGUAUAUAGAGAUCAAGGAAAGGACCAACUAAUUCUGAAUUACACAUUGUGCUUACGACCUGCGGGCGGCACAAUUAAUUCUGCACAAGGUCAUUGUGAGAGGUGACCUGCCUCUGUUGUUUUAUUGUAUCCAUCUCCCGCGGUCACGUAUUUUUCCGUGAGCGCCACUCCAAAAGCAUCAUUCAUUUGAUCAGAUACGAGGAAUUAGCCGUGUUAGAUGGAUUCUUGCAGCGAUGCCAUUGUCUUGUAUAGUGGAAACUCUAUCUCUUGUGUGUGUGCCCUUUGAAGACUGCACAGCGCCAUUAAAAAAGCAGCUGUCACUGAAACGUGACGAGCAGCCAAUAAGCAAAUAACUUCUCUUCGCACAACAAAUUAUCCACUAAAUCCUACCCCCUCAGAAUGGAUUUUUCUGCCAAUAACAGUUAUAAGUACUUUGAAAUCAUUUUUUUCUUUGUUAACUGUGACAGCCUUUAAAUAUCUAAUUUGCACAUAGAACGCUUCAUUUUGUUGACAUCAGUCGUCAAGGAAUUUAAUUCCUUCCAUUCCUUUUCUGUCACCAAAAGGCUUAUUUGUAAGUGCCUGGUAUGAUGAAGCAAUCGGGUCGGGUACAUAAAAGGCAGAAAAAGUACGAUUAGUAUUUCACCUUGUAUGCAAGUCAAUACAUUCAAAAUUAGCCAAGGGAACGUUUCCCCUUAUUGUUUUACAUGAAAAUGGAUGCUAAUUUUACCACGCUUUGCAACGCUUAGAGCGCCACAGAGCGGAGGAAUGAAAGUCUUGCAGGCGUCUCUAGAGACUCACGUUUCUAUAGCAACCUUCUAGACUGUUCUCAUAACUUUUUGAUUUUGGCAUCAGAAAGAAAUACAUCGAUUAAUAAUUUCCCUUUCCGCGGAGCCUUCAAAGGUGAUAAAACUUAGUUGAAUUUAUAUAAUUGUUAUAUAUUUUUUUAAGAAUUAUGCAACAUGGGUUAUCUUUUUUUAAAUACAGAAUUUUAUAUUUGUAUACAACAUAGCACUGAAAAUCUACUUAACUGAUGCUAAAUAAAAAGUCGAACGCUGUAGGCUCAUAACCAAGAAUCAUCAUUUUUUUCAUUAUUCCCGUUUUUUCAAAACAAUAUCAUUUCUAACACAUGCAACGGCUUGACGCUAAAGUCAUUUGUUUCUGGUGAAGUUGUAAAAAGGCCAACACAUUACUGAUCUUUGAAUUUUUUAAAGAAGAAAUGCAAACUCCACCAACAACAGAAUUCUUCAAUAAACGAAAAAACGCGAUAUUGUAUCAUUUGACCGUGGAGGGAAAUAUAGACUCAAAUGAUGGCACAAACAAGACUCACAGAAGGAAAAUAAAGCGAAACAAGAAGAUUUCGGUAUUCAAUGAUAUGAACGUUAUAUACCGUAACUGAACUAUUGCCAAAUAGAAAAAAAAAAACAAUUCUGGGGAAUCACUAUUCCUUAAAGCCACACACUUUAUUUUUGAUACAACAAAAGAAAAUCGUCGGAUGUGUCUUGGAGUCUGAAGGACGAGAGAUUCGGAGUCCCGUUGGAUGGAUGCAUUAACUAGUCAGGACAUUGGCAGUUGUCAUACUGUACCUAGAGCGUGCUACAGUACAGAGGCUCAAUUAACCAAUCUGAAACGGAUAUAAGACUUUGUCCAAGCGCUGGAUGAAAAUUAUUUCAUAUUGACCUUCUUGUCCUCCUCCUAAAUGUGGUGAGAGAGGUGAUGUUCAAAGACUACACGAGCAAACCAGUCUGGGAGGGUACAGAAGAGAAGCAAUUUCCUCACUUCCAAAAAUGAAUCCACACUUAAUAUGGAAAACAAAAAAAUUGUUUCACAAGAAAUCACAUGCUCUCUACAAACAAGUCUGAGAUUGUUCUGAUAUGAAAUGAAGAAGAAUAUAAUUUAAAAAGCACAAACCACAAGGAAAUGAAGAUCAACGAUACCUUGGAAAUCCAGUAUCUUCACAAUUACUUCUUGUAUAUACUGUAUAGAAAUUAUUGGAUAUGCUGUGCUUUGAAGGUGCAAAACCACGAGUUACAUGAAGAAACAACACGUGGGACAAAAUAUAAAAAUUGAUCCGUAAAAAAAUGUUAAAUGUGCUAUGUGAAGUCCUGUAUGUAUAAUACUACAUAGCUCUGAAAACUACGUAUACAGUACAGGUAUGUGUUCUUGCUGAUGAGCCUCUUGAUGUACAGUAGUCAAGUCUGUUUAGUCUAAAGAAGUACUUCAUAUGCAAUAGGAAAAAAAACUGAACUAUUAGAAAAACAUUUACAGUAUGUUUUAUACUUUGCAUAUCAUGUGCUAUACCAAAACAUAUAUUACAUGCUUGGAAACCAGGGCAUUCAAAAAGGUAAAAGUUAUACAAUUUGUGUUCUAUGUCAACGGCUCAAAAUUGCUCUGACAUUUUUAUUAUACCUUGUGGGAACAAUUGAUAGCUCAUUGAUAAAUAUCAAAAACACCACUGUUCAACUAGUGAAGUUAUUAAAUCUAUAUUUUUU